AUUGAACGCUGGCGGCAGGCUUAACACAUGCAAGUCGAGCGAGCGGCGGACGGGUGAGUAAUGUCUGGGAAACUGCCUGAUGGAGGGGGAUAACUACUGGAACCGGUAGCUAAUACCGCAUACCAUCAGAUGUGCCCAGAUGGGAGUAGCUAGUAGGUGGGGUAAUGGCUCACCAAGGCGACGCUCCCUAGCUGGUCUGAGAGGAUGACCAGCCACACUGGGACUGAGACACGGUCCAGACGCCUACGGGAGGCAGCAGUGGGGAAUAUUGCACAAUGGGCGAAAGCCUGAUGCAGCCAGGCCGCGUGUGUGAAGAAGGUCUUCGGGUUGUAAAGCACUGUUAGUGGGGAGGCGUUACUCGCAGAAGAAGCACCGGCUAACUCCGUGCCAGCAGCCGCGGUAAUAC
rnacentral:rRNA from 1 species